UAGGGAAUCUUCCACAAUGGACGCAAGUCUGAUGGAGCAACGCCGCGUGAGUGAAGAAGGUUUUCGGAUCGUAAAGCUCUGUUGUUGGUGAAGAAGGAUAGAGGCAGUAACUGGUCUUUAUUUGACGGUAAUCAACCAGAAAGUCACGGCUAACUACGUGCCAGCAGCCGCGGUAAUACGUAGGUGGCAAGCGUUGUCCGGAUUUAUUUGGCGUAAAGCGAGCGCAGGCGGAAUGAUAAGUCUGAUGUGAAAGCCCACGGCUCAACCGUGGAACUGCAUCGGAAACUGUCAUUCUUGAUUGCAGAAGAGGAGAGUGGAAUUCCAUGUGUAGCGGUGGAAUGCGUAGAUAUAUGGAAGAACACCAGUGGCGAAGGCGGCUCUCUGGUCUGCAACUGACGCUGAGGCUCGAAAGCAUGGGUAGCGAACAGG
rnacentral:rRNA from 1 species